rnacentral:rRNA from 1 species
UAAUACGGAGGAUCCAAGCGUUAUCCGGAUUUAUUGGGUUUAAAGGGUGCGUAGGCGGCUUAUUAAGUCAGGGGUGAAAGACGGUGGCUCAACCAUCGCAGUGCCUUUGAUACUGAUGAGCUUGAAUACACUAGAGGUAGGCGGAAUGAGACAAGUAGCGGUGAAAUGCAUAGAUAUGUCUCAGAACACCAAUUGCGAAGGCAGCUUACUAUGGUGUUAUUGACGCUGAGGCACGAAAGCGUGGGGAUCAAACAGGAUUAGAUACCCUGGUAGUCCACGCCCUAAACGAUGAAUACUCGAUGUUAGCGAUAAACAGUUAGCGUCUAAGCGAAAGCGUUAAGUAUUCCACCUGGGGAGUACGCCCGCAAGGGUGAAACUCAAAGGAAUUGACGGGGGCCCGCACAAGCGGAGGAGCAUGUGGUUUAAUUCGAUGAUACGCGAGGAACCUUACCCGGGCUUGAAAGUUAGUGAAGUAUUCAGAGAUGAAUACGUCCU